UACGGAGGGGGGCUAGCGUUGUUCGGAAUUACUGGGCGUAAAGCGCACGUAGGCGGACCAGAAAGUUGGGGGUGAAAUCCCGGGGCUCAACCUCGGAACUGCCUUCAAAACUAUUGGUCUGGAGUUCGAGAGAGGUGAGUGGAAUUCCGAGUGUAGAGGUGAAAUUCGUAGAUAUUCGGAGGAACACCAGUGGCGAAGGCGGCUCACUGGCUCGAUACUGACGCUGAGGUGCGAAAGCGUGGGGAGCAAACAGG
rnacentral:rRNA from 1 species